ACAAAUACUAGCCCACACCACAUAAGACUUAACUAUAUUACAACAUAAACUAAAACAUUUACCCUAGUUAAAGUAUAGGAGAUAGAAAUUUCCAAUUGGCGCUAUAGAGAGAAGUACCGCAAGGGAAAGAUGAAAGACCAAUUAAAAGUAACUAAUAGCAAAGCUUACCCCUUGUACCUUUUGCAUAAUGAUUUAACCAGAACCACUUGGCAAAAAGAAUUUUAGCCAAGCAACCCGAAACCAGACGAGCUACCCAAGAGCAGCUAAAGAGCAAACUCGUCUAUGUAGCAAAAUAGUGAGAAGACUUUUGGGUAGUGGUGAGAAGCCUACCGAGCCUGGUGAUAGCUGGUUGUCCAGAACAGAAUUUUAGUUCAACUUUAAGCCAUGCCUAAAAAACCUAAUAACUCUUAUGCAGACUUAAAAUAUAAUCUAAAAGGGUACAGCCUUUUAGAAACAGGAUACAACCUUAACUAGAGAGUAAGCCCCAAAGAUCCCCAUAGUUGGCCUAAAAGCAGCCACCAAUAAAGAAAGCGUUCAAGCUCAACGACCCCUCUUAAACCUAAUCUCAAACAGUUAUCCGCGAACUCCUAACUUAGUACUGGACCAUUCUAUUACAAAAUAGAAGAAAUACUGUUAAUAUGAGUAACAAGAAUCGACUUCUCCUCGCACAAGUCUAUAUCAGAACGGAUAUUCCACUGAUAGUUAACGACAAGAUAAAUACCACACCACAACUAAAACACUUAUUAAUUCAAUUGUUAACCCAACUCAGGAGUGCGCAAAGGAAAGAUUAAAAGAAGUAAAAGGAACUCGGCAAACACAAACCCCGCCUGUUUACCAAAAACAUCACCUCCAGCAUAACAAUUAUUGGAGGCACUGCCUGCCCAGUGACAUCCGUUAAACGGCCGCGGUAUCCUGACCGUGCAAAGGUAGCAUAAUCAUUUGUUCUCUAAAUAAGGACUUGUAUGAAUGGCCACACGAGGGUUUUACUGUCUCUUACUUCCAAUCAGUGAAAUUGACCUUCCCGUGAAGAGGCGGGAAUUCCCAAAUAAGACGAGAAGACCCUAUGGAGCUUUAAUUAAUUAGUCCACAAAACAACACCCAUACCCCAAGGGAAACAAACCAACUUUUGCUGGAUUAACAAUUUAGGUUGGGGUGACCUCGGAAAACAAAACAACUUCCGAGUGGUAUUAACCUAGACUGACAAGUCAAAGUUUACAAUCAUUUAGUGAUCCAAAACUUCUUUUGAUCAACGGAACAAGUUACCCUAGGGAUAACAGCGCAAUCCUAUUUGAGAGUCCAUAUCGAUAAUAGGGUUUACGACCUCGAUGUUGGAUCAGGACAUCCCAAUGGUGCAGCCGCUAUUAAUGGUUCGUUUGUUCAACGAUUAAAGUCCUACGUGAUCUGAGUUCAGACCGGAGCAAUCCAGGUCGGUUUCUAUCUAUUCUGCGUUCCUCCCAGUACGAAAGGACAAGAGAAACAAGGCCAACUUAACAUAAGCGCCUUCAAGCCAAUAGAUGAUGAAAUCUAAAUCUAAUAGCAAUAACACAAGUAUUUAAGCCCGAGAACAGGGCCCAC
rnacentral:rRNA from 1 species